CAGUCUAUGUCCCAUCAGCUUGUUGGUGAGGUAAUGGCUCACCAAGGCUAUGACGGAUAUCUGGUUUGAGAGGAUGAUCAGACACACUGGAACUGAGACACGGUCCAGACUCCUACGGGAGGCAGCAGUGAGGAAUAUUGCACAAUGGAGGAAACUCUGAUGCAGCAACGCCGCGUGGAGGAUGACGCAUUUCGGUGUGUAAACUCCUUUUAUUAGGGAAGAUAAUGACGGUACCUAAUGAAUAAGCACCGGCUAACUCCGUGCCAGCAGCCGCGGUAAUACGGAGGGUGCAAGCGUUACUCGGAAUCACUGGGCGUAAAGGGUGCGUAGGCUGGCUUUUAAGUCAGAUAUGAAAUCCAAUGGCUCAACCAUUGAACUGCAUUUGAAACUGAAAGCCUAGAGUUCAGAAGGGGCAGAUGGAAUUAGUGGUGUAGGGGUAAAAUCCGUAGAUAUCACUAGGAAUAUCAAAAGCGAAGGCGAUCUGCUGGGAUGAUACUGA
rnacentral:rRNA from 1 species